UCUGUGCUCACCUCACCUGGCACCUGCUUCGGAGCCGCCUCACUGCUGUGCCAGCUUCCUGCACAUGCUCCCCUCUGAGCCAGGGCCGCGGCCUUGAAGCUCUCCUCAAUUUACUAAAUGCUUCUUGCUUCCGGAGAAAGCACCUCUGCAGCCCCCCGGUGUGAAGGAUGUCCCUGCCUCACACCUCACACCCAGGGGAACAGGCAUUCCGAGGGGAGCAGGGCCGCUCCCUCUGCUCCCAGCACAAAGACAAUAACCACCCGAGUCAGGUGCACAAAGUCGUCUCUGUUCUGUUUCACUCAAAAGUGAACUGACAGGUACAGAGUAUCCUCUGAGAAAUUUUAAUCAACUACUCACCUGAGGGACUCUUCCUCCCAGAAAUCCCAAUUUAUCCCUUUUUUCUUACUUUACCAGCAUCAUCCUCACUGUACAGCUAGAGUGAACCACUGAUCACACUGGAGAGGAAACACACAUAGCUACUGGAAUAUUUUGCUUUCUAAUCCGUGUGCACCAAAGUCUCCCAUCAGUGCUCACAGCACAGGGGUGCAGCAGGCAGAAAGACACCAAUCCACACCUAACGGAAAGAUCAUUUUGGUGCUACUUUAGCAAGAACUUGUUACUGAGCACACAACACAGGGUUUGUUUGAACUGUGCUGACCUGAUGCUUACCGGGAAGAGAUGCUUCUCAGUUUCCAGGACAUGGACACUUCUUUGAGAUCCGAAGACACCAAAACUUGCAGUUUCCAAUGUUUCCUGUUUUACCUUAGACAUGAACCUGAGCAGAGUUAGACCUGCUCAGGGCUCAAGUACUGAAGCAGGCAUCCAUAGCAGUGACUUGUGACUGGCAGGCUCAGAUGUUUAUUUAGAGUUAUCAGUGCAAACCCAAAGUCCUAAGGCAGCCACUGACAGCAUCAGAAGAUGUUUCUCCUAGAAGGGAAGAAACCAGUCUGUUGCAUGAAAAGUGGUAACCCUGGCAUUGAUCUGUUAUUGCCUCACUGACACUUUCUCCAUUUUGUUCAGAAAAGAACUACUAAAUUUAAUUAUACUGCAACAACAUCUACAGCCACAAAAUUCAACAAAACUGGUUUAAUUUCAGAAAAUGUGUUAAAAUAUAUAUAUAUUUGUACAUCAAUUUGACACACUGUAUUAGUUUACACAAAUUAUGGUCUUUUUUGAAACUGUAUUUAUGAAAUGUACAUUUUUAAUUUAAAUACUCAGUAUACACUUGCAUUUAAUCUGCAUGUUGCAUUUAUUAAAUACAUUAAAUCUGCAAUGUAACAAAACGUUUUCUGCAUACGAAAUUCAAAACACCAUUUUAAAUGAACAAAAGAUGGCUCACUUCAUUUAUUUGUUUUAACAACUAGUGCCUAGCACACUAGCUUAGCUCCACCAACACCAGCUGUUCUUUCUCUUUAUUGACAUUGUUCACAGACUAGUACAUAUUACACUAAGAGUGCUGGAUAAAAACAUGAGGUACGGAAGUGGUUCAAAGAUUACAGGUCAUGCAGAUCAUGCGAGACAGCAAAGAAAGUUGUGAAUGAGAAAACACUAAAUAAAAAUACAUAAAGAAUGUGCAUUAUAAAAUAAAAAAGAAACCAAAACAACAAAACAAAAAAACCAACAACCAACUCAAUUAUACAGCUUUGCUUCUUUGGUUACAAAGUAGGUUGAACAAUUUCACAGCUUUUUAUUCCCACCCAAAAAACCAAACCAAAAACGAAAUGUCAAAAAGCAGAGGGAUCAUGGCCCCCCUUCUCUCUAUUAAAAAGUAGAAACAGAAAUGAGCAAAGUUUUCUUCAUCAAAAUAGCCCAUCACUUAUUUAUUAUAUCACAAGGACUGGUGACUACCUGUACAGAUGCACUAUGGUCUUCAUACUUACACUCUAUACAAAAUUUACAUUCAAGCUGGAUCUUUACUACCGUAAAUAAAUACCAAAGGUCAAUUGCCAUUAGUGUUAGAAAUAUGCCAGGAUUCUUUGUUCAAUUAUUGCCUAGACAUUGUAUCUAUUAACGCAAUCCCACCUAUCAUUUUACCCAUACAGACAUUUAUUAAAAAAAAUUCAAAAGUUCUGUGACAUUGUUCAUGUACAUUAUGAAAAUAGCAGCCCUGUAAUAAAUAAAACAAAUAAAUGAAACUAACAUAGGCAAAUGUUACUUAUAUGAAAAGAACAGUGGCUCUGAAGAGGAAUUGCUGCUCCUUAGCAGACAGCAAGGCUCGAAGCAGCCCAGGAGCAAUGGGAACCUCGGAGAGCCACCCAAGCUCUGACAGACCUCCCUCCUGAAGCCCAGACAAGCCAGCCCGGGCUGCAGGGCUCCUCCGCGGCCGCCGGCGUGCAGGAGGAGCACAGACACCUCAGCAGCACUGCGGCCGCAGCUCGGGCAGCCCCGGAGGGUGAUUGUCUAAUACUGAAAAGGCCAAACACACAAGAGAAGCAGGCUGCUCGCUCGGGCCGAGAGCCGGCGGUGGCACAGGACGGGCUCACGCGGAGGAGACGUUGGGCUGCGCGGGCUGCGUGCUGCUGGGGG